GUGGGGAAUAUUGGACAAUGGGGGCAACCCUGAUCCAGCCAUGCCGCGUGUGUGAAGAAGGCCUUUUGGUUGUAAAGCACUUUAAGCGAGGAGGAGGCUUACCUGGUUAAUACCUGGGAUAAGUGGACGUUACUCGCAGAAUAAGCACCGGCUAACUCUGUGCCAGCAGCCGCGGUAAUACAGAGGGUGCAAGCGUUAAUCGGAUUUACUGGGCGUAAAGCGCGCGUAGGUGGCUAAUUAAGUCAAAUGUGAAAUCCCCGAGCUUAACUUGGGAAUUGCAUUCGAUACUGGUUAGCUAGAGUAUGGGAGAGGAUGGUAGAAUUCCAGGUGUAGCGGUGAAAUGCGUAGAGAUCUGGAGGAAUACCGAUGGCGAAGGCAGCCAUCUGGCCUAAUACUGACACUGAGGUGCGAAAGCAUGGGGAGCAAACAGGAUUAGAUACCCUGGUAGUCC
rnacentral:rRNA from 1 species